GCGCACCAGUCGCGAAUCUUCCCCAAUGGACGAAGGUCUGAGGGGCGACGCCGCGUGAAUGAAGAAGCCCUUCGGGGUGUAAAAUUCUUUUCUUUAGGAAAAAUUCGUGAUGGUACUAAAGGAGUAAGGGGCCGCCAAACUCGUGCCAGCAGCGGCGGUAAUACGAGUGCCCCGAGCGUUAUCCGGAAUUACUGGGCGUAAAGCGCUAAAAGGCGGUUUGAUAAGUCAGACGUCAAAAUCCC
rnacentral:rRNA from 1 species